UGAAGAAAAUGUCUCUCCUACAUGAGCA
rnacentral:piRNA from 1 species